AGACCCGAAACCCGGUGAUCUAGCCAUGGGCAGGUUGAAGGUUGGGUAACACUAACUGGAGGACCGAACCGACUAAUGUUGAAAAAUUAGCGGAUGACCUGUGGCUGGGGGUGAAAGGCCAAUCAAACCGGGAGAUAGCUGGUUCUCCCCGAAAGCUAUUUAGGUAGCGCCUCGUGAAUUCAUCUCCGGGGGUAGAGCACUGUUUCGGCUAGGGGGCCAUCCCGGCUUACCAACCCGAUGCAAACUGCGAAUACCGGAGAAUGUUAUCACGGGAGACACACGGCGGGUGCUAACGUCCGUCGUGAAGAGGGAAACAACCCAGACCGCCAGCUAAGGUCCCAAAGUCAUGGUUAAGUGGGAAACGAUGUGGGAAGGCCCAGACAGCCAGGAUGUUGGCUUAGAAGCAGCCAUCAUUUAAAGAAAGCGUAAUAGCUCACUGGUCGAGUCGGCCUGCGCGGAAGAUGUAACGGGGCUAAACCAUGCACCGAAGCUGCGGCAGCGACACUCAGGUGUUGUUGGGUAGGGGAGCGUUCUGUAAGCCUGUGAAGGUGGCCUGUGAGGGUUGCUGGAGGUAUCAGAAGUGCGAAUGCUGACAUAAGUAACGAUAAAGCGGGUGAAAAGCCCGCUCGCCGGAAGA
rnacentral:rRNA from 1 species